AAUAUAAUAUUAUACUGUAAAGGUUAUAUUAAUUAAUUAAAAUUUACAUACCUUUUGCAUAAUGGUUUAACNAAACAUACAAUAAAAUUAUUUUACCCGAAGUUAGAAGAUCUAAUUUUUAUAAAUUUAUAGAAUAUAAUUUAAUAAUGUUUCAAAAUUAUAGUUAUAAUAUAAAUUAGUGGUGAAAGGCUUAUCAAUUCUAAAAAUAUCUGGAAUAAUUUUAAAUGUAUUAAGUACAGAAUAAAAUUUGAAUAAAAAAAUGUUAAGAUUUUUUUNAAUAAAGAAUUAUAAUUUUAAUNNAAAAUUGUAGGCUAANCCCUNCAAUUAAAUUAAUUUAUUUAUAAUUAUAAAUUAUUUAAAUCUUUACUAUAAAAUUAUANUUUAUUACAUUUUAUUUUAAAAUUAAUUAUGUUAAAAUCAGUAUAAUAUUUAAUAUUUAUUUAAGGAACUCGGCUAAUUAUUAUUCACCUGUUUAUCAAA
rnacentral:rRNA from 1 species